UACGUAGGGUGCAAGCGUUGUCCGGAAUUAUUGGGCGUAAAGAGCUCGUAGGCGGUUUGUCGCGUCGAAUGUGAAAACCCGGGGCUCAACCGAGGAAGUGCGUUCGAAACUGCAGAGCUUGAGUGCCGGAGAGGGUGGCGGAAUUCCCCAAGUAGAGGUGAAAUUCGUAGAUAUUCGGAGGAACACCAGUGGCGAAGGCGGCUCACUGGCUCGGUACUGACGCUGAGGUGCGAAAGCGUGGGGAGCAAACAGG
rnacentral:rRNA from 1 species